CCAGGUGUAAACAUUUAGCCCCAUGCCUGGAAAGCCAUUUUCACGGCUGAGCUCGUUUUCCCUUUCCUUUCCCUUUCUCUUAAUUUUCCAAGGUGCUCACAUUUCUGAGUGCAGAUUCUAUAGUCUUCGUUCAAGCAGCAGACCUCCUAUAGCUGAACUUCCUGGACAUUUGAGAGCCAAGCUCCAAGACAGUUUAUAUCCAGUUUCAUGGGAAGAUUCACCCUAAACUAACAUGUGUUGCCAACCUUGCUCCUUUUUCCUUCCUUUCCCCACUAAAGCCCCAAUACAUAGUUGUGUAGAGUUGUAAGUUCUUCUCGUUCUUCUGUGUGAGAUGCC
rnacentral:lncRNA from 1 species